UACGUAGGGGGCAAGCGUUGUCCGGAAUCAUUGGGCGUAAAGCGCGUGUAGGCGGUUCGAUAAGUCUGCUGUGAAAGUCCAGGGCUCAACCCUGGGAUGCCGGUGGAUACUGUCGAGCUCGAGUCCGGAAGAGGCGAGUGGAAUUCCUGGUGUAGCGGUGAAAUGCGCAGAUAUCAGGAGGAACACCAAUGGCGAAGGCAGCUCGCUGGGACGGUACUGACGCUGAGACGCGAAAGCCAGGGGAGCGAACAGG
rnacentral:rRNA from 1 species